rnacentral:rRNA from 1 species
AACGAACGCUGGCGGCAUGCCUAACACAUGCAAGUCGAACGGGACCUUCGUGUCUAUGUGCGCACGUGGGCGGAACGCGGGGUAACUAGCCCGUAGGUACGGAAUAACUCCCCGAAAGGUGUCCUAAUACAGGAGAAGCUCUUCGGAGCAAAGAUUUAUCGCUGUUGGAUGGGGGCUCGUUAGAUUAGCUGGUUGGUAGGGUAAAAGCAUAUCAAGGGGACGUUCCUGAGCUGGUCUGAGAGGAUGAUCAUGCACACUGGGAAUGCGACACGGACCAGAAUCGGACGGGAGGGAGCAGAGGAGAAUAUUGGAGAAUGAGCGCAAGCGUGACAAAGCAAUGCCGCGGGAGUGAUGCAGGCCUUAGGGUUGUGCAGCUGUUUUAGACGAGAUGAUAAUGACAGUACCGGGAGAAUAAGCACCGGCUAACUACGUG